rnacentral:rRNA from 1 species
ACUCCUACGGGAGGCAGCAGUCGGGAAUUUUGCUCAAUGGACGAAAGUCUGAAGCAGCAACGCCGCGUGAGGGAUGAAGGCCUUCGGGUCGUAAAGCCCUUUUGUCAGGGACGAGUGAGGACGGUACCUGGCGAAUAAGUCUCGGCUAACUACGUGCCAGCAGCCGCGGUAAAACGUAGGAGGCGAGCGUUAUCCGGAUUCACUGGGCGUAAAGCGCGCGUAGGCGGUUGGUUAAGUCGGACGUGAAAGCCCCUGGCUCAACUGGGGGAGGCCGUUCGAUACUGGCCGGCUUGAGGGUGAGAGAGGAAAGUGGAAUUCCCGGUGUAGCGGUGGAAUGCGUAGAGAUCGGGAGGAACACCAGUGGCGAAGGCGGCUUUCUGGCUCACCCCUGACGCUGAUAGCGCGAAAGCGUGGGGAGCAAACGGGAUUAGAUACCCCGGUAGUCCACGCUCUAAACGAUGAGGGCUAGGUGUUGGUGGGAUUUCCCAUCUGUGCCGAAGCUAACGCGUUAAGCCCUCCGCCUGGGGACUACGAACGCAAGUUUAAAACUCAAAUGAAUUGACGA